GGACAACACAAACAAAUCCAACUUGUGACGACCAUAAACAUAAAGUACAAACCGCUAUCUUUCGAUGCCAUUAUAACUUGUUUGAUUUCGUGCGCCCGUGACACCCGACAGCUGUUUUAACAGCCGAUACUUUAACAGAUCGUGACUCUGUUAAAAUUUCUGUUACGUAACAUUGAAGUUUGAAGUUUUCCCAACACUUUGACGACAUUAGAUUUUAAUAUUAACGACUUUCGAAAAAUGGAUUUUUGGCCACAAAAAGUGGUCAGCCAGCCUAUAGUGCAGUGGUUGGUCCCUAAUUGAAAUAGUACAUUUAGAAGUUAAUAUAAAUAAAUUCCAACUCAUGAAGGGCUCGAAUUUCAUUAAUUUGCCCAGAGAAAUAGUAAGCAGAAAAGCCUGCAUCAACGUGCAAAAUAGAGACGAAUAUUGUUUUAAAUGGGCAUUAAUAUCGGCUUUUGUGAAACUUCCAGUUAAUAAGAAUCGACCCAGUCAAUAUAAACGUAAAGGCAUUUACUACAUUAGGUCGGAUAUAAUAAAUAUAAAUAAUAAAUCGUUAAAUUUUAGUGGGUUAAAAUUCCCCACACCGGUCGACAGCAUAAACAUAUUUGAAGAAAAUAAUCCUGAAAUUAGUAUAACUGUGUUGGGUGUAGACAGCGAUGAAAAGACAAUUAUCGGCCCAUAUUAUUUAACUAAUAAUAAAACUAGCAACGUCUUACACACUAUAUAUCUACUACUUCUCGAGAAGGAUGACAAAUAUCACUAUGCUUGGAUAAAAAAUAUUUCCAAAUUACUUCGCAAACAAAUAACUAAAAGUACGAGGAAGAUUCAUCUAUGCAAUGGCUGUUUUCUACAUUUCGAUGAUAGCGACAAACUGGAACGACAUAGUACGGAGUGUAAUAGAAUUAUAACUGAGAUGCCCUCAAAUGAA